GUUUAAGAGAAAAUCCUGUUAAAUCGUGUAAUCUUUUGAAAAUCAAAUUAAAUAUCAAUCUGGCAUGCCUUAAAACAUGUCAACCCAAAGCUUUACAUUUAUCAGCAGCAAUGCCCUGAUAAAAUACAAUUACUAAUACGUUUUAAUUGGCACUUUUUUUUUUUUUUUUUGAGUUAAAGGACAUGAGUUUACAAAUGACCAGAAAUUAUGCAAAAAGAGGUAAAUUCAUCUCAUUUAUUGUUCAUAAAACACCAAACCAGAAGCAGUUCUACACUGCGAAUCACGAUUCCCACCCAUCCAAAAAAAAAGAGAGAAAAUGUAUUUACUUAUUUUAGACUUUGGGUGUGCCAUGACUUAGCUAGAACAAAGAUGGAUUCCAAAUCUUAGGGAGAAAAUCCAGACAUGUAAAUGAUAUUUAUGGUUUUAAUCUUCCUUCUUCCAAAUAGAAAACAAAAAUCCUUUAAAAUGGCAAACAUAAAGAACAUGCACACAGUGGAGUCCUGAUAGCAAGUGUUGGAUUCAAUUAAAAGCAUUCCCUUAUUUGAAACAAAAGAAGGUAUUGAAAAAAUAAAUAAAUGUAAAAAAAAAUAACACCCAGAGUGUAAUACACAGAGUUAGCCAUUUCAUUCCAUGGCAGGAUCAUGGCAGCCUGUUCUGUUGGCCUCUCCUUGGUGUCUGAUGAAGGAUGUUUUACAGAGUUCAGUAAUAACUCAAAAGGCGGAUGCAAGCUGGACGCUGAUUGGCUGCAGUCUCGGGAGAGCCUCUCCGACGGCCAGUGACGUCACCGUGGCUCAUACCCAAGUCGAGGACACCCUUUUGACACCCCCACCCGAUAGACAGAAGCCAGCCCACUGAUAGCAGCAGCACUGUGUGUGCAC